rnacentral:lncRNA from 1 species
CUUAAAUCAAAAGACCCUAGGUCUUUAAUAUGUUUGGUUUAUUAGUAAUAUCACUUUACGCGUAAUUCUAAAUGUAAGAUGGGCAAAAACUCCCAUUUAUUGUCUGCGCACCCUUUCAACCAAAAUAUACAAGUAAGGACAUGUCGCAACUAACAAUUUAUGAAAAAUUAUUUGUCGAUAUGUCAUAAGGUAUUUGAAAAUAAAUGAAAAUAAGCCAAAAUCUAAAUUUAGAAUAUGACCUUGACCUUUGACCUUGACCUCAUUUUUAUCAUUUUGGACCAAGGACCUCAAAUCUAAAGACCCUAUGUCUUUAUCACUUAUGGUUUACCAAUUAGAAAUGCAUAUCACUUAAUUAAAUGAAAAAGGGGGAAUAACUCUCAUAUGGAGUCUCCGUAAAGCUUCGGUCCAAAUGAAUAUCCUAAUCCUGAAGAUGUAACGAGCAAUUUGGUAAAAUAAAUUUGUCUUAAUCUUUAACGGUUGCGAAGGAGUAGUGGCCACAAGAAAAACAGUGUUUGGGGAGAUAACUCUUACAACGUAAAGUAUUUUGUUACGCAGUUGUAAAUUUUUAAAGCGUAUAAACUAUACGAUACCAUAUUCCAAAUAUCUAAGGGACAUCUUUUGAAACAUCAAUAAUACGCAAGAAAAAAAAUUAGGCGGAAGAAAAAAAAAAAAAAUAAUAAUAAUAAUCAGAACAAAUUCAAUAGGUCUUUCCACGG